CCCGCUGAACUUAAGCAUAUCAAUAAGCGGAGGAAAAGAAACUAACAAGGAUUCCCCUAGUAACUGCGAGUGAAGCGGGAAAAGCUCAAAUUUAAAAUCUGGCAGUCUUUGGCUGUCCGAGUUGUAAUUUAGAGAAGUGUUACCCGUGCUGGACCAUGUAUAAGUCUUCUGGAAUGAAGCAUCAUAGAGGGUGAGAAUCCCGUCUUUGACAUGGACUACCAGUGCAUUGUGGUAUGCUCUCAACGAGUCGAGUUGUUUGGGAAUGCAGCUCAAAAUGGGUGGUAAAUUCCAUCUAAAGCUAAAUACAGACGAGAGACCGAUAGCGAACAAGUACCGUGAGGGAAAGAUGAAAAGAACUUUGGAAAGAGAGUUAAACAGUACGUGAAAUUGCUGAAAGGGAAACGCUUGAAGUUAGUCGCAUUGGCAUGAGAUCAACCUGGCAUUGCUUGGUGUAUUCUCUUGUUAAUGGGUCAACAUCAGUUUUGACUAUUGGAUAAGAGUUGGAGGAAUGUGGCUCCUUUAGGAGUGUUAUAGCCUCUAGCUGUAUACAGUGGUUGGGACUGAGGCUCUCAGCACGCCUUUAUGGCCGGGUUUCGACCACGUUCGUGCUUAGGAUGUUGGCAUAAUAGCUUUAAGCGACCCGUCUUGAAACACGG
rnacentral:rRNA from 1 species